GCUGGGAUAACUCAGUCAGUAGAGCAUGAGACUUGCUCUCAGGGUUGUAGGUUUGAGCCCCACACUGGGCA